UGUCCUCCAUAGGAGGUCUAUAUUGAGCGGAUUCUUUUUGGUAUUGGGUGGUGGAACCGGAGCGUGCUCCAUCCACUCCAUGCAUUGACCUGGUAUUGCAGUGCUUCCAGGACCGGUGC
rnacentral:snRNA from 1 species